UGGCGAACGGGUGAGUAAUAUAUCGGAACGUGCCCUAGAGUGGGGGAUAACUAGUCGAAAGAUUAGCUAAUACCGCAUACGAUCUACGGAUGAAAGUGGGGGAUCGCAAGACCUCAUGCUCAUGGAGCGGCCGAUAUCUGAUUAGCUAGUUGGUGGGGUAAAAGCUCACCAAGGCGACGAUCAGUAGCUGGUCUGAGAGGACGACCAGCCACACUGGAACUGAGACACGGUCCCGACUCCUACGGGAGGCAGCAGUGGGGAAUUUUGGACAAUGGGCGCAAGCCUGAUCCAGCAAUGCCGCGUGAGUGAAGAAGGCCUUCGGGUUGUAAAGCUCUUUUGUCAGGGAAGAAACGGUCUUGGUUAAUACCUGGGGCUAAUGACGGUACCUGAAGAAUAAGCACCGGCUAACUACGUGCCAGCAGCCGCGGUAAUACGUAGGGUGCAAGCGUUAAUCGGAAUUACUGGGCGUAAAGCGUGCGCAGGCGGUUAUACAAGACAGAUGUGAAAUCCCCGGGCUCAACCUGGGAAUUGCAUUUGUGACUGUAUGGCUAGAGUGUGUCAGAGGGGGGUAGAAUUCCACGUGUAGCAGUGAAAUGCGUAGAUAUGUGGAGGAAUACCGAUGGCGAAGGCAGCCCCCUGGGAUAACACUGACGCUCAUGCACGAAAGCGUGGGGAGCAAACAGGAUUAGAUACCCUGGUAGUCCGCGCCCUAAACGAUGUCUACUAGUUGUCGGGUCUUAAUUGACUUGGUAACGCAGCUACGCGUGAAGUAGACCGCCUGGGGAGUACGGUCGCAAGAUUAAAACUCAAGGAAUUGACGGGGACCCGCACAGCGGUGGAUGAUGUGGAUUAAUUCG
rnacentral:rRNA from 1 species